AAUGAGUUCGCUAGACAACAAGCAUUCAGAAACCCUAAUCUUUUCCAGCCUCCAUCUUCCUUCUUCCAUCAGUCAAGCAAAUCAAAUCAAAUGGUAGUUUUUCUCAUCUCCAUCUUCUAACAAAUGGAACGUAUUUAUCUUCUUUCUCACACAGUAACAAAUGACAACCUAAUUUCUGCUGAACCCUAAAACCCACCAUCGCAACUUUGCUUUGUCUGUUCUUGAUCGAUUCCUCUUUGAUAAUCGAAGUUGCAGGUUUUGGACUUUGGCUCUGCAAAGCCUGAUUUCGCAACUGAUUUUGGCCUUUUCAUCUAAAAUUGUCUCAUAGGUUGAUGGAUAUGGGGCAUGUGUAUUGUGUUUUAUCUCAUCUUGAAUCUGAAAAAUCAUCCCUGGCAGUGAUUUGGUUCUGCUUUUAAUUUCGGAUUCCGCUCAGACUGAUAAUUAUGAGAAUCUUUUCACACAUGAAGCCAAACAGCAUACUUGGACUUUCACACGGGUUUCUUCUUGGUCAUCUGCAAUCGGUCGGGCUUGAUUUCCCCAAGAACAUAUAGUAUUUUGUUUGUUGGCUCACAAAAUUACGCAUAUUAAAAUGUCAGAUUAACUUUAAAAUGGUUGGAUAGCAUCAACAUAGAUUCCCAAGACCGCAAGGGAUUCUCCGUGCAGAAAGACUACGAAAUGUUCCACCUCAGUAAAUUUGGAUAAUAUUGAUUGGUCUACAAUGAGGCUACAAAUCGAUUUCCCUGUCCAGAAUUUUGAUGGACUCUUGGUUUUGGAGAUCGUAAAACGGGAUCUUUCUAAUGGAUUCCAAGGUAUUGCUAUUGGAGAAGAUGUUUUUCCCAGUUCUACUCUCUCUGAUCGUGUUUUGUGGUUCAACAAAAUUUCUCAGGACAGUGGCAGAACAGUGGAUGUAAACUGGAUCUUUCACUGAUUAAGGCAUUUAAAAAGACUGCAACGAUGUCGGAUAGGCCCUCGCUUUUUUUGUGCUUUGCGCCUAGGCCCCAGGCGAGGCCUGUGCGCCUUGAGUGCGCCUAAUGCCUUUAAUAACUAUGGUCAUAUUACAGGAUACUAUUUUGCUCGGCAAAGAGUAUUUGCAAGAGACUUUUCAUAUAAAAGAAGUUGAGUUUUUGACUUUUGAUUCAUCAUGUUAGUUCUUCUAUUCAUUUUAUUUUCAAAUAUACUAUCUAAAACACCUAUAUUGCAUAGAUUUUGCAUGUAUGAUGAUGGAAAUUCGCAACCCUUUUGGAGUUGUUUAGAUCCCAUAUGGGUCGUAAGUUUGAAUAUUAUAUUUCGAGCUGUCUUUCUCAUAAUGUCUUAUGAGAAUCGGGUUAUCCGUUUGAUUUAGAAAUGAUUUGAUUUGGGUCUAUACUUAACGGGUCAACCUCAAGAUGAGCGUAUCUGUUUUUUUAAGAUAUACGAGCACAUAAAUAACGUAUCUUUUUAGGCAUUUCUUUUCUGAUUUGGAAAGAAUGGAUCACAUAUUAAUCAUUCCACAUUAUAACCUCAUGCUCCUUAGAUCAUGAACAAUCUUAAGACGAUCAUGCGAGGGGAAUUUUGCUGCUCCAAAUAGGAGGACACUUGCACGUCGAGUUGGCCAUAGAUGACCCAUUUGCAUGGGAUAACAUAGAAUAUCUACAGAAGUUGUUCAUAGGAAAGGAUGUUUUUAGAAUGGAAUACACCAUCCCAUAUUUCUCCCGAGAAUUCUGUAAAUUGGUACCACAACUGUUUGUAACGAGGUUAAGGAGGCUAAAUGAGAGGUGACCCUUGUGCAUACAAGCCAAACAACAGGUUAUACGUCUAUCGGACAAGGAAAUCUUCUGUAUGGAAUGCAAAAAAGAGUUGGGCUUGCUUUCUGGUCCGUUUACUCCCUAUGAAACCUCCUGGAAGUUAAAGCUUCAAGUUCAUUAUGUCUUCAAGGAACCAAGGUUGUUGCUGAGAUGACGGAUGGUUGUGUUGACAGAAGUCUUGAGUGCACUGGAACUAUCAAGGCUAUGAUUUCUGCGCGCCGAUGUGGCAAUCCAUGAGAUGUGCGGUCUUAUGACCAGAAUAUUCAGACCAAAUUUAUUAAUAUUAAAUUGUUUAGAUAUUUGUUACCUUUUUAUAAAACGACGUUUUGACCCGAACCUAAUUUGGGUAAAGCCCAUUCUGACCCGAUAGGGAUCUGAAAACUAAAGUUUUAUAGAGACAUGGAUAGGGACGUGAAAACUAAAGUUUUAUACCGGGGUAGAAUGGUAUAUCUUAGUUCAAUUGGUUUGUAAUUUCCAUUUCAGUAGUGGUUUACCUUCAAUUAUCUUAUAAACCUACACGAAAUUUGAUGUUUUAA